rnacentral:rRNA from 1 species
GGGGGCCCGCAAGCGGUGGAGCAUGUGGUUCAAUUCGACGCAACGCGAAGAACCUUACCUGGGCUCGAAGCGCAGUGGACCGGGGUGGAAACAUCCCUUUUCGCAAGAACUGCUGCGGAGGUGCUGCAUGGCUGUCGUCAGCUCGUGUCGUGAGAUGUUGGGUUAAGUCCCGCAAUGAGCGCAACCCUUAUCCCUAGUUGCCAUCAGGUCAAGCUGGGCACUCUAGUGAAACUGCCUCGGAUAACGAGGAGGAAGGUGGGGAUGACGUCAAGUCCUCAUGGCCUUUAUGUCCAGGGCUACACACGUGCUACAAUGGUCGGUACAAACCGUCGCAAACCCGUGAGGGGGAGCUAAUCGGAAAAAGCCGGCCUCAGUUCGGAUUGGAGUCUGCAACUCGACUCCAUGAAGCUGGAAUCGCUAGUAAUCGCGGAUCAGAACGCCGCGGUGAAUACGUUCCCGGGCCUUGUACACACC